rnacentral:rRNA from 1 species
GACGAACGCUGGCGGCGUGCCUAAUACAUGCAAGUAGAACGCUGAAGGAGGAGCUUGCUUCUCUGGAUGAGUUGCGAACGGGUGAGUAACGCGUAGGUAACCUGCCUGGUAGCGGGGGAUAACUAUUGGAAACGAUAGCUAAUACCGCAUAAUAGCAGUUAUUGCAUGAUAACUGUUUGAAAGGUGCAAUUGCACCACUACCAGAUGGACCUGCGUUGUAUUAGCUAGUUGGUGGGGUAACGGCUCACCAAGGCGACGAUACAUAGCCGACCUGAGAGGGGGGUCGGCCCACCGUGAAUUAGACACCGCCCCGACCCCCUACGGGGGGCACCAGUGGGGAAUUUUCGGCAAUGGACGGAAUCUUGACCGGGAAACGCCCGGUGAGUGAAAAAGGUUUUCGGAUCGUAAAGCUCUGUUGUAAAGGAAGAAGGGGUGGGGAGGUGGAAAGUUCAACCUUGGCCGGAAUUUUACAGAAAGGGACGGCUAACUACGU